AUUGGCCAUUUUUUUUGCUAGUAGCGAGGCCCAGAAGUACUGGUGAAUGAAUGAGGAGGCCUACAUCACCUGGCUAUUGUGAGGACAUCAUGAGAUAAUGCUUUCAAACUGCCUGUCAAAGAGUCUGGCACAUAGUGGGUGCUUCAGACAAAGGAGGAGUUAUUAUUAUUGUUAUGCGGCAGCUGGGUGGGGGGAGGGAGCUGGCUAUGACUCAGAGGAGUGGGUGGCCGUGACUCUUGUCAUGGAGGGGCCUGAGGCAGGGUCCUGGGGCCUGUGUGCCUCCACGCCAUAAUGCUGGCAGAACUGAUAUUUCUCUUUAGGAGUCUCCAUGGGAUACUUGCCUCCGCAGGCACCAUAGGAGCAGUGGCAGCUUGGCUGAUGAGCUAUAAGCCAGCCUUGUUUGGGUUCCUAUUCCUUCUGCUGUUGCUUAGCAACUGGUUGGUCAAGUAUGAACACAAGCUCACCCUCCCAGAGCCCCAGCAGCUUAAAAGGAGGAAGAGAAACCAAAGACUUCUGAAAACGACUCCAAGAACAGCAAGGCCGUGAACACAAAAGAAGUCAAUAGAACGCAUGCCUGCUUUGCCCUCCAGGACGAGAUCCUCCAACGGCUGUUGUUCAGUGAAAUGAAGAUGAAGGUCCUAGAAAAUCAGAUGUUCAUCAUAUGGAAUAAAAUGAAUCACCACGGGCGGUCAAGCAGACAUCGGAAUUUUCCCAUGAAAAAACACAGAAUGAGGAGGCAUGAGUCAAUUUGCCCCACCCUGUCUGACUGUACUUCGAGUUCCCCCAGCUAAUGAGGCCGAGGCGGGCUGGCCUCUGCCGAUGUUACCUUUUACCUCAGUAAAACCCAG
rnacentral:lncRNA from 10 species